GAUGAAGAACGUAGCGAAUUGCGAUAUGUAAUGUGAAUUGCAGAAUUCAGUGAAUCAUCGAAUCUUUGAACGCACCUUGCGCCCUUUGGCUAUUCCGAAGGGCAUGCCUGUUUGAGUAUCAUGAACACCUCAACUCUCAUGGUUUGCCAUGAUGAGCUUGGACUCUGGGGGUCUUGCUGGCCUAUGGUCAGCUCCUCUCAAAUAAAUCAGCUUGCCAGUGUUUGGUGGCAUCACAGGUGUGAUAACUAUCUACGCUUGUGGUUUUCCAUCAGGUAACCUUCAGUGAUGGAGGUUCGCUGGAGCUCAUAAAUGUCCCUCCUCAGCGAGGACAGCUUUUUGAACGUUUGAUCUCAAAUCAGGUAGGACUACCCGCUGAACUUAAGCAUAUCAAUAAGCGGAGGA
rnacentral:misc_RNA from 1 species